rnacentral:rRNA from 1 species
CCUACGGGGGGCAGCAGUGAGGAAUAUUGGUCAAUGGCCUGACGGCUGAACCAGCCAAGUCGCGUGAGGGAGGACGGCGCAGAGCGUCGCAGACCUCUUUUGCCGGGGGACAAAAGGCCGGACGGGUCCGGUUCUGAGGGUUCCCGGAGAAAAAGCAUCGGCGAACCUCGUGCCAGCAGCCGCGGUAAGACGGAGGAUGCGAGCGUUAUCCGGAUUCAUUGGGUUUAAAGGGUGCGCAGGCGGGCCUUUAAGCCGGCGGUAAAAUCGCGGGGCUCAACCCCGCCGAGCCGUGGGAACUGGGGGCCUUGAGUGCGGCGGAGGCAUGCGGAAUGCGCGGUGUAGCGGUGAAAUGCAUAGAUAUCGCGCAGAACCCCGAUUGCGAAGGCAGCGUGCCGUGCCGCCACUGACGCUGAGGCACGAAAGCGCGGGGAUCGAACAGGAUUAGAUACCCUUGUAGUC